rnacentral:rRNA from 1 species
ACUCCUACGGGAGGCAGCAGUGGGGAAUAUUGGACAAUGGGCGCAAGCCUGAUCCAGCCAUGCCGCGUGAGUGAUGAAGGCCCUAGGGUUGUAAAGCUCUUUCACCGGUGAAGAUAAUGACGGUAACCGGAGAAGAAGCCCCGGCUAACUUCGUGCCAGCAGCCGCGGUAAUACGAAGGGGGCUAGCGUUGUUCGGAUUUACUGGGCGUAAAGCGCACGUAGGCGGACUAUUAAGUCAGGGGUGAAAUCCCGGGGCUCAACCCCGGAACUGCCUUUGAUACUGGUAGUCUUGAGUUCGAGAGAGGUGAGUGGAAUUCCGAGUGUAGAGGUGAAAUUCGUAGAUAUUCGGAGGAACACCAGUGGCGAAGGCGGCUCACUGGCUCGAUACUGACGCUGAGGUGCGAAAGCGUGGGGAGCAAACAGGAGUAGAAACCCCUGUAGUCCCAU